rnacentral:rRNA from 2 species
UCCGUAGGUGAACCUGCGGAAGGAUCAUUACCUUUCAAUGCAGCAGAAUUGGGAUGGUUGAGUAUCUCGCCUUCCAAUUCUGCCUGUAUUCCACCCUUGUUUGUCAUACUAUUAUUUCCUCGGCAGGCUUGCCUGCCGAGUGAAACCAAUUAUAACCUAUUUAAUUUUCAAUCAGCGUCUGAAAAAAAUUAAUAAUUACAACUUUCAACAACGGAUCUCUUGGUUCUGGCAUCGAUGAAGAACGCAGCGAAAUGCGAUAAGUAGUGUGAAUUGCAGAAUUCAGUGAAUCAUCGAAUCUUUGAACGCACAUUGCGCCCCUUGGUAUUCCAUGGGGCAUGCCUGUUCGAGCGUCAUUUGUACCUUCAAGCUUUGCUUGGUGUUGGGUGUUUGUCCUGAGGGACUCGCCUUAAAGUAAUUGGCAGCCAGUGUUUGGUUUUGAAGCGCAGCACAAGUCGCGAUUCAAGGCUAUACACCAGCUUCCACAAGCCUUUUUCACUUUUGACCUCGGAUCAGGUAGGGAUACCCGCUGAACUUAAGCAUAUCAAUAAGCGGAGGA